rnacentral:rRNA from 1 species
CCUACGGGAGGCAGCAGUGGGGAAUAUUGCUCAAUGGCCGAAAGCCUGAUCCAGCCAAGUCGCGUGAGGGAUGACGGCCUUCGGGUUGGUAACCUUCGUUUGCAGGGAAGCAUAGUGACGGACACUUAGGACCACGCGACUGCUAACAACGUGACAGCAGCCGAGGUCAUACGUAGGGGGCGAGCGUUGUCCGGAAUUACGGGGGGUAAACGGAUCGUAGGAGGGAAGCCAAGUCAGCUGGGAAAACUACGGGCUUAACCUGUAGACUGCAGUUGAAACUGGCUUUCUUGAGUGAAGUAGAGGUUGGCGGAAUGCGGGGUGUAGCGGUGAAAUGCGUAGAUAUUCGGAGGAACACCGGUGGCGAAGGCAGCCAACUGG